AACGAACGCUGGCGGCAGGCUUAACACAUGCAAGUCGAGCGCCCCGCAAGGGGAGCGGCAGACGGGUGAGUAACGCGUGGGAACGUACCCUUUGCUACGGAAUAGCUCCGGGAAACUGGAAUUAAUACCGUAUGUGCCCUACGGGGGAAAGAUUUAUCGGCAAAGGAUCGGCCCGCGUUGGAUUAGCUAGUUGGUGGGGUAAUGGCCUACCAAGGCGACGAUCCAUAGCUGGUCUGAGAGGAUGAUCAGCCACAUGGGGACUGAGACACGGCCCAAACUCCUACGGGAGGCUGCAGUGGGGAAUAUUGGACAAUGGGCGCAAGCCUGAUCCAGCCAUGCCGCGUGAGUGAUGAAGGCCUUAGGGUUGUAAAGCUCUUUCACCGGAGAAGAUAAUGACGGUAUCCGGAGAAGAAGCCCCGGCUAACUUCGUGCCAGCCGCCGCUGUAACAC
rnacentral:rRNA from 1 species